AAGACAGGGGGAGCUUGCCCUGUACCUCCAACUCUGCAAAUGCCAAUCUCUGGUGCGUUGCUCUUGCUCAACUCUUUUUCUUCAAAUUUCCCUUAUUUUCCAAAAGAAGGAAGUCUUUUUAUCUUCAGCUUUCUCAUAUAUUAAUAUUUACAAUAACUUAAAACCACCACCACCAUAGGCAAAGUUUUCAGCUUUCACCUUCUCCUUC
rnacentral:misc_RNA from 1 species